GACGUAGGAUGCAAGCGUUGUCCGGAUUUAUUGGGCGUAAAGAGUUCGUAGGCGGUUCGUUAAGUCUGAUGUUAAAUAUCGGGGCUCAACCUCGGGAGUGCAUUGGAUACUGGCGGACUGGAGUGUGGUAGAGGUUAGUGGAAUUCCCAGUGUAGCGGUGAAAUGCGUAGAUAUUGGGAGGAACACCUGUGGCGAAAGCGGCGCACUGGACCACAACUGACGCUGAGGCGCGAAAGCUAGGGGAGCAAACAGG
rnacentral:rRNA from 1 species